UACGUAGGGGGCAAGCGUUAUCCGGAUUUACUGGGUGUAAAGGGGGCGCAGACGGCGAUGCAAGCCAGGAGUAAAAGCCCGGGGCCCAACCCCGGGACUGCUCUUGGAACUGCGUGGCUGGAGUGCAGGAGGGGCAGGCGGAAUUCCUGGUGUAGCGGUGAAAUGCGUAGAUAUCAGGAGGAACACCGGUGGCGAAGGCGGCCUGCUGGACUGCAACUGACGUUGAGGCCCGAAAGCGUGGGUAGCAAACAGG
rnacentral:rRNA from 1 species